rnacentral:rRNA from 1 species
UGGGGAAUAUUGGGCAAUGGGCGAAAGCCUGACCCAGCGACGCCGCGUGAAGGAUGAAGGUCUUCGGAUUGUAAACUUCUUUGAUCAGGGAAGAAAGAAAUGACGGUACCUGAAGAACAAGCCACGGCUAACUACGUGCCAGCAGCCGCGGUAAUACGUAGGUGGCAAGCGUUGUCCGGAUUUACUGGGUGUAAAGGGCGUGUAGGCGGGUAUGCAAGUCAGAUGUGAAAUCCCGUGGCUCAACUGCGGAACUGCAUCUGAAACUGCGUAUCUUGAGUGUCGGAGGGGAAAGUGGAAUUCCUGGUGUAGCGGUGAAAUGCGUAGAUAUCAGGAGGAACACCGGUGGCGAAGGCGACUUUCCGGACGACAACUGACGCUGAGACGCGAAAGCGUGGGGAGC